GCGGAGGAACAUGUGGUUUAAUUCGAUGAUACGCGAGGAACCUUACCCGGGCUCGAACGGUGCAGGAAUAUGGUAGAGAUAUCAUAGCUAGCAAUAGUCUGUAUCGAGGUGCUGCAUGGUUGUCGUCAGCUCGUGCCGUGAGGUGUCGGCUUAAGUGCCAUAACGAGCGCAACCCUUGUCGUUAGUUACCAUCAAGUAAAGUUGGGGACUCUAGCGAGACUGCCACCGUAAGGUGUGAGGAAGGGGGGGAUGACGUCAAAUCAGCACGGCCCUUACGUCCGGGGCGACACACGUGUUACAAUGGUAGGUACAGAGGGGCGCUAUCCAGUGAUGGAGUGCGAAUCUCAAAAACCUAUCUCAGUUCGGAUUGGAGUCUGCAACUCGACUCCAUGAAGUUGGAUUCGCUAGUAAUCGCGCAUCAGCCAUGGCGCGGUGAAUACGUUCCCGGGCCUU
rnacentral:rRNA from 1 species